AUACGUAGGGGGCGAGCGUUGUCCGGAAUGAUUGGGCGUAAAGGGCGCGUAGGCGGCGCGGUAAGUCUGGAGUGAAAGUCCUGCUUUCAAGGUGGGAAUUGCUUUGGAUACUGCCGCGCUCGAGUGCAGGAGAGGUUAUCGGAAUUCCCGGUGUAGCGGUGAAAUGCGUAGAGAUCGGGAGGAACACCAGUGGCGAAGGCGGGUAACUGGACUGCAACUGACGCUGAGGCGCGGAAGUGUGGGGAGCAAACAGGAUUAGAUACCCUGGUAGUCCACGCGGUAAACGAUGAAUGCUAGGUGUUGCGGGUAUCGACCCCUGCAGUGCCGGAGUAAACACAAUAAGCGUUCCGCCUGGGGAGUACGGCCGCAAGGUUGAAACUCAAAUGAAUUGGCGGGG
rnacentral:rRNA from 1 species